rnacentral:rRNA from 1 species
UACGAAGGGGACUAGCGUUGUUCGGAUUUACUGGGCGUAAAGCGCGCGUAGGCGGAUCGCUAAGUCAGUGGUGAAAUCCCGCGGCCCAACCGUGGAACUGCCAUCGAUACUGGCGGACUUGAGUGCGUGAGGGGUUACCGGAACGAGCAGUGUAGCGGUGAAAUGCGUAGAUAUUGCUCGGAAGGCCAGAGGCGAAGGCGGGUAACUGGCACGCAACUGACACUGAGGCACGAAAGCGUGGGGAGCAAACAGG